CCCGGAGCUCCUGGCCCCCCCGGGCCCCCUGGUGCCCCAGGCCGCCAGGGGAUGCCAGGACACAACGGUUUGCCGGGACUGCCUGGCCCGGCUGGAGACCUGGGGCCACUGGCUGUCAUGGCCGAGAGGAACAUCGAGGUGCUGAAGACCCUCUGCGGGGACUGCGCCCAGCUGCAGGCAGCCUUCGAAGCACCCACUGGUGUCAAGGGAGAGAAGGAGGACGGGGGCAUGCCGGGGGCCCCCGGCAGCGAGAACUGUGCCCGCCUCCUCCAGUGCAUCCUUAAAGGGGAUCCCCGGGUGACUCCUGGGUUUUCUU
rnacentral:lncRNA from 1 species